rnacentral:piRNA from 1 species
UCAGGAAGUGGAGAGAACUGCGU